rnacentral:rRNA from 1 species
CCCUUAGAUGUUCUGGGCUGCACACGUGCUACACUGGCAGGUUCAGCGAGCUUCAUGCCCUGAUCUGAAAGGAAUGGGAAAUCUUUUCAAAACCUGCCGUGCUUGGGAUAGAUGUUUGCAAUUAUUCAUCUUCAACGAGGAUUGCCUUGUAAGCGCACGUCAUCAGCGUGCAUUGAAUACGACCCUGUAUUCUGUACACACCGCCCGUCGCUCCUACCGAUUGAAGUUUUCGGUGAGUUGACAGGAGGAUUUUUUUGAAGCUGGUUCGCCAGUGGAUUUUAGAUCCAAAUGCCAACGAAUCGAUGGCUUUAGAGGAAGGAGAAGUCGUAACA